AAUCGACGACAUCAGCUGCUCCAUAAGUUCCCACACGAAUUGCUUGAUUCAUUGAAGAAGACGAUAAGAAGCAGCCCGAAAUUGGGUCUGUAGCUCAGUUGGUUAGAGCGCACCCCUGAUAAGGGUGAGGUCGGCAGUUCGAAUCUGCCCAGACCCACCAAUUUUGUGUGGGAAACGCCUGUAGAAAUACGGGGCCAUAGCUCAGCUGGGAGAGCGCCUGCCUUGCACGCAGGAGGUCAACGGUUCGAUCCCGUUUGGCUCCACCACUACUGCUUCUGAAAGUUUUGAAAGCUUAGAAAUGAGCAUUCCACCAAGACGGUGAUGAAUGUUGAUUUCUAGUCUUUGAUUAGAUCGUUCUUUAAAAAUUUGGGUAUGUGAUAGAAAGAUAGACUGAACGUUACUUUCACUGGUAACGGAUCAGGCUAAGGUAAAAUUUGUGAGUUACUCGUAAUUGAGUAUUAUCGAAUUUUCGGCGAAUGUCGUCUUCACAGUAUAACCAGAUUGCUUGGGGUUAUAU
rnacentral:tRNA from 3 species